rnacentral:rRNA from 1 species
GAUGAACGCUGGCGGCGUGCCUAAUACAUGCAAGUCGAGCGAACGGACGAGAAGCUUGCUUCUCUGAUGUUAGCGGCGGACGGGUGAGUAACACGUGGAUAACCUACCUAUAAGACUGGGAUAACUUCGGGAAACCGGAUCUAAUACCGGAUAAUAUUUUGAACCGCAUGGUUCAAAAGUGAAAGACGGUCUUGCUGUCACUUAUAGAUGGAUCCGCGCUGCAUUAGCUAGUUGGUAAGGUAACGGCUUACCAAGGCAACGAUGCAUAGCCGACCUGAGAGGAUGAUCGGCCACACUGGAACUGAGACACGGUCCAGACUCCUACGGGAGGCAGCAGUAGGGAAUCUUCCGCAAUGGGCGAAAGCCUGACGGAGCAACGCCGCGUGAGUGAUGAAGGUCUUCGGAUCGUAAAACUCUGUUAUUAGGGAAGAACAUAUGUGUAAGUAUCUGUGCACAUCUUGACGUUACCUAAACAGAAAGCCACGGCUAACUACGUG